GACGAACGCUGGCGGCGUGCUUAACACAUGCAAGUCGAACGGUGAAGCGCCUUCCUUUUUGGUGGGUGUGGAUGAGUGGCGAACGGGUGAGUAACACGUGAGUAACCUGCCCCCUUCUUCUGGAUAACCGCAUGAAAGUGUGGCUAAUACGGGAUAUUCUGGGUCUGUCGCAUGAUGGGUCUGGGAAAGAUAUUGUUUCGGUGGGGGAUGGGCUCGCGGCCUAUCAGCUUGUUGGUGGGGUGAUGGCCUACCAAGGCGGUGACGGGUAGCCGGCCUGAGAGGGUGGACGGUCACACUGGGACGGAGACACGGCCCAGACUCCUACGGGAGGCAGCAGUGGGGAAUAUUGCACAAUGGGCGCAAGCCUGAUGCAGCGACGCCGCGUGAGGGAUGGAGGCCUUCGGGUUGUAACCUCUUUCGCCAGUGAAGCAGGCCUGCCUCGUUUGUGGGUGGGUUGACGGUAGCUGGAUAAGAAGCGCCGGCUAACUACGUG
rnacentral:rRNA from 1 species